AAAAGCAAUGAUGAUAAAUGCUUGUUAUACCCAGCUCAUUAUGAGGUCUUCUUUUGUGGAGAUCAGGGAAUUGACUUACUUCCAACAUUUAUCUGAGUUUUCUU
rfam:Beta vulgaris subsp. vulgaris chromosome 4, whole genome shotgun sequence.